GUGAUGCAGAGAGAAAAGUGUGUGGCCAAGAAGAAAAACACCGUGUAUAUCAAAACAUAAAUGAAAAAAAAUCUCGAGAAUGGGAAAUGCUGAAGAUAAAGAGAAAGAACCCAAGAGAAUAAAAGCAAAGAUAAUAAACAGCCACAGCCAGACUCAGAUGUUCUCUGUCCCAUUAGAGAUGACUUUACCAACAUGUAUUACCUCACUGUAAAGCUCACAUUCCUGAAGCCCUGCAAGCUCUUCAGUCUUAGAAAAUCCAUCUCAUAAUGCCAAAACAGGCUGAUGGGAAACCUUUUCUGCUCUUUGUCCUUUGGAAUACAGAGAAAACCAAUGAGAGCCCCAAAAUGGCUUUUUUUUGCACCUGCCUGCUGACUCUCCAUCUCUUUCAGCUGUGCUUUCUGCUAUCAAAAUAUGAUCCUAGGAUCUGUGGUCUUGCAAAAUGCUCGGGUGGGUACCAAUUUAUAUAG
rnacentral:lncRNA from 1 species